AGUGAUGGCUUCCAAAACUUUGCUUUCUUGUAUCUUUGCAAGAACCAAUCUGGAGCAGCCAGUCUUUGUUUCUCUGAGCCAAAGAUAUGCACAGCUGAAAAAAAGUUAGUUUUGAGCUGGUUUCCUGAUAUGGCUCACUACAUAACUGUACAAAUACCAGAAGGAGGGGACAGGACCUCCUUUAGCUGGUAACUUGCUGUUAUUUUGGCUGAGAGCAAGCAUGGAAGAGCUACUUCAGCUAUGCUCAUGUGAAACUGGACCUGCUUUGCUCACACUAGACUACGUACUCUCUACUUUCACUGAAGCACUCAGCCAGAGUGCAGGGAUUGGCAUGCUGCCAAUGCUCGCCUCAUCGUCAUAAACACACAAAGCCCCAAAAAGAAACUGA